UAUUCUGCCCCACGGGGAAGGAUGAGAAGCUUCGACUAAGGUUCGACUCGAGCGAAGCGAGAGAACGUUGCCGCAGCAACGGCCCGAAGGGCGAGGAGCGAUAGCGACGAGUUAUCCUUCCCCCACCACCA
rnacentral:sRNA from 1 species